rnacentral:rRNA from 1 species
UACGUAGGGUGCGAGCGUUGUCCGGAAUUAUUGGGCGUAAAGGGCUCGUAGGCGGUUUGUCGCGUCGGGAGUGAAAACCAGGUGCUUAACACCUGGCUUGCUUUCGAUACGGGCAGACUAGAGGCAUGCAGGGGAGAACGGAAUUCCUGGUGUAGCGGUGAAAUGCGCAGAUAUCAGGAGGAACACCGGUGGCGAAGGCAGGUCUCUGGGCCACUACUGACGCUGAGAAGCGAAAGCAUGGGGAGCGAACAGG